GGGAGUUUGGCCGAGUGGUUUAAGGCGUCAGAUUUAGGUUGUAACUAAUCAAUUUAAACAUUCUGAUAUCUUCGGAUGCGUGGGUUCGAAUCCCAUAGCUCUCA
rnacentral:tRNA from 1 species